UUGGGAGGGGGUGGGGGUAGGGGGGGUCAGUCCUGGGUGCGGGCAGGUGCAGCGCGGGGCUCAAGCCUCCCCGCCGGCAGAGGGCGUCCGCGAGGCUCAGUGUGGAGCGAGUGUGCGGGGCGCCCGGCUCACCUGCAGCGCCGAGCCUGGAAGCGAGCCGCGCGACCCGCCGUGUCGCCUGGGAGGACCCUGGCCGCCGCAAGGCCUCCGGAAAGCCGGCUUCCCGGAAUGACCGUAGGCCGGCAGUGGUUACAUCUGUGUGUGGCUCUGGAAGGAGGGUGUCAGGAGCUUCCCCAUCUCAGAAAGGAGUGCCUUGGGAACCAAGCAAAGGGAAGAGACACCAAGACAGCCAGAGUCAGCGAUGGCUGAGAGCCACCUCUCCCCGUCUGUGAUGCCUCUUGUGAAGGAAGGGAAAGACCAUGAGACCGAGGAUCCGGCAGAACACAGAUACUCUGGGCAUGAGAGCCACUGGAUCUGUAGCUACAGAAAAUGAACAUACCCACUGAAGGUGUCCUGUGGAGAGGCAGCAGAAGGACACCAAGGACACAGCCCUGGGGGAUGCCAUCCUUCUGAUAUCAGGCUGGAAGGUCCAGCCAAGGGGGCAGGAUGAGGCUGGAAAGCGGGAUGCUCAGAGGCCUGUGGCAACCAUGGGCAUCAAGAAAAGAACAACGAGAGAUGCUUGGAGGCUGGAAUGGGUUUCUGGACUUGGCCCCGUGGAGGAGGUGACUUGGAUUAGGCCAGCUUCGGAGGAACAACUGGCAGAAGUCAGAGUGAGCCACUGAGAGAUGGCUCAGAGGUGAAGAGCACUGGCUGCUCUCACAGAGGAUCGAAAUUCAGGUCCCAGCACCCACGUGGCAACACACAACUAUGUGUAACUGCAGUUCCUGGUGAUCUGGACACAUAUAAGCAAAAUAUUCACACACACACACACACACACACACACACACACACACACACACACACACACUAAAUAUUGAGGGACUGGAGAGAUGGCUCCGUGGUCAAGAGCACUAACUGCUCUUCUAGAGGUCCUGAGUUCAAUUCUCAGCAACCACAUGGUGGCUCACAACUAUCUGUAAUGGGAUCUGAUGCCCUCUUCUGGCGUGUCUGAAGGCAGCUAUGAUGUACUCAUAUAAAUAAAAUGAAUAAAUAUUAAAAAUUAAAGAGUGAGGGGAACUGGACAUGAGAGUAUAUAAUUUAGCUUGUAAUUUAGCUCUCAGGAGUUGGAGUCAGGAGAAUCAGGAGUUCAAGGCCAGCCCUGCCCAUGUAGUGAAUUGCAGACCAGUCUGUGACAUAUGACACCCUGUCUCAAUAAAAAGAAAUAAAAGUAAGAAAGGAGCUGGGAGGUGGUGGUGCAUGGCUUUAAUCCCAGCACUUAGGAGGCAGAGGCAGGUGGAUCUCUGUGAAUUUGAGAACAGCCUGGACUAUAGAUCUAGUGUUAGGACAGCCAGAGCUACACAGUGAAACCCUGACUUGAAAAAAAAAAAAAAACCAAUCAAACAAAAAAGUAAAAAGAAGGAAAGAGAUGAGAGUGAGCGACAAACGCCACGAUCAGUGUCGAUGUUUAUGUGUAAUCCCAGAUCUUGGGAGGUAGAGGCAGGAGGAUCAGGAAUUCAGGUCAUCCUGGGCUACAUAGGAAAUUCCAGGCUAUCCUAGGCUACAUGAGAUCCUGUCACAAAAAUAAACAAAACCAAAACAAGAAGUCUGUGUUCUCUUUAGAAUUCCAAAUGACAGAUGAUUUGAAUAAACGUUUGGUUUUCAGCAAAGUGCCUCUUGCUAGGAUGGCCAGGCAACCAGUCCAUUUAAUAAAGCCUUUUACUAGGCCCAGUUCAUUGACUCAUGGUUGCUCCAAUCUCCUGGAAACUGCAAACAUUGGCGGGACUGUCAGUGGCAGGGUGGGUGGGGAGGUAGAAGAUUAUGUGAGAAUUUAUUGUACUUUUGGUCAACAUUGUAAAACCCAAAACAACUCUAAAAAAAAUUAGUUGACUAGGAUUGGGGUAAUUGCUGAGUGGUUAGAGCACUUGCUGUGUAAGCCUAGGACCCAAGUUUGGAUCCCAGCAUCCAUGUAUAGUCAAACGCAGCAGCAGGCAUCUUCCUUCCUACGGGGAUGUGUGAGGGCGAGACAGAAGGGUCCCCAGAGGCUUAGGGGCUAGUCAGCCUGGGUACACAGUGGCAACUCACAAAAGACUCUGUCUCAAACAUGGUGGAAGGUGGAGGGGCACACCUGAGUCGCUCUGACCUCCACGUGUGUAUGUGUGCACCAAUAUUUACACAAACGUGUGUAACAUGCACAUAGCUAUGCACAAAUACACACCAUGCAUAGAUUUAAAAAGAUAAAAUUAAAACCCCUUCAAAGUUGGUUAUCUGCCAGCAAACAUGACCACAGCUCUAUAUGGUUGGGCUCAGUUUUUGGACUCAGACGUGGUGAUCCCAUUGUGCCUCCUUUCCCGGGAGAUGGGCCCAUUGUUUUGAGAGGCCAAAUCUUUUAAGU